UCAACCACUGCACCACCAGGGAAGCCCUGUCUAAAUUUCUUGUCUGGCCUCUUAUCAAUUUCUAUUGAUUAAGGAGGCCAAGAACCCUGGUUGGUAACAUCUAAAAUUCUCAGUCUUGUAAUAUGUGAACACAAAUACCAUCACCAGGUAAAUUGUAUUUGAUACGUAAACCAGCUGGAAGGUGGGUAUCUAGGUCUGCUUAUACCAUUCUCUUUAUUUUUAUAUAACGUUAAAAUAAAAGCAAUUGGGCAACUAACUUUGGUGACUUGAACAUAAUCUUUAAUUGGCACCUCUCCUCCAGAUUCUCCCUGAACUUGGGAAGGGUAUAUAAAAAUAUCGGGAAGUCUAUUUUAGUCUGUAAACCAGGAAACUGAAAAGUACAUGCAAGGAACUCCUUCAGUAUCUGAAAUGGACACUACUAGUACAUCCUUAGCUAGAAGUGCAGGAAUAUGUGGUGAAAGUGGUCCACACAGUAGGUUAUUGUAUAUUUGGGGAACAAUUUCACUUUACCAAUAUCCUUGAGAAAGCUAUAGAUAAAAGAGCAAAGAUUUUUUUAAAAAGUAUGUUUACUCCAUGCAUGGCAUACUCAUGGGGCCGUAGUCUUGCUGAAAGAGUGACCAUUUAACCUAGAGAGAAAGCGGCCCGGCUAGUUGCCCGCAACACACUUAUCAGGACCUCCUUCAGCAAAGAGAUGCUGCUCUAUAGUAAAAAAGCCUCUAGAAGGAACACUUCCUCCUUCCAUAUUCUUUCCAUAUGACACCUUGAUGUCCAAAUUGGCAAAGUUAAAUCACAACAAAUCAAACAUUUUCCUUCUCUCUUUAACUGCCCCCUGGCCUGGGAGAUUCUACCAGAAAUACACAAAGUCUUUUUGGAGAACCCAUCCCAAUUCACAAGACCGCAUGAGCACAGAUCUGCCUCUGUAAAGAUGUACAAAGAGAAAAAAAAUCACUAGGAUGAGAAAUGCUUCAGCAGUUCAAGAGAAUCAAUCUGAGGAAUGAGAAAUAACUAUCCUUCUUUGAAAUGAUGUUUCUGCAAGAUAGAAGGGUUAUUGCUCAGAGCUAUUGGUGUAUACCUGUAAGCUAGUCCCUUGAAGCUUAAUUUGAACGAUGAUACAGCAGUGAUAUCAUGGACUUCAGAAGACUACAGAUAAGCUGGUUCUGUGUUAAUCCAGUGAGACUCAAAAAUGUCAGCUCACCAUUUAUCUCCAAAAGAGAAAAUAUCCUUUCCUAAUACUGCAAUGAAUGCCAUCACUAAAGAUGAAAUUUCAUCAUAAGUGUCUACAGAAAGAGACAAAAAGAUCAUAAUAAGAAUUGUAGGUCUUUUUUGUGUGAUAAGGUAACAUUUGAGAAUGUUCAUUGGUGCUGUCUUUGGCUGACAAAAGUAAUUAAUUCCAGCAUGCAUCUACCUAGUAGAAUACAAAAGUUACUUGAAAGUGUGUGUGUGUGUGUGCGUGUGUGCGCGUGCGUGCGUGCAUGCGUGCAUGAGAUGAAUUUAAGCUUCCUGUGUAGAAAAUGUGAGUCAGAGUAAAGCAAUGGAUUUCCUUUGCUUCUUUAAUCCUCAACCACAAGUAACAUUUUCUAAAUUGCAGGUCUCUAUAUUUUUAGGCUACCAUAAUCACUACAGUGUUAAAUCCAGAGUUUUGCACACACACUUACAUUUCACCUUCCAAAUUAAGUUUGAAUUAAGUUUUGAAUAAAUUUUGAAUUAAAUUUCAUCAGUUUUGACUGAUGAAAAUAUAAUCAAAGUUCUAUGAGCUAGACCAUAUGGUAUGUAUUUUAUGGGAAGCCUUUAUGCUUCUAAUACAACUCUAGUUUAAGUGAUGGGGAAUAUUUCAUUUCAUAGGGAUAUCCCGUGCAUAAUUUUCACAAUAUGCUGCUUUAUCUGAUGUUAUCUCAAUUCAUUUUUUCCCCAGUGAAAUCUAAUAUCAGAACCUUGAACUAAGGCAGGGAGACAGUCCAGUGUAAUAAAAAGUUAUCUAAACUCUUUUGUUACAACUGUACUUCUCCCCGUGCUCCCAUUUAGUCACCAGUUGUAACAUGCUUGUUGUAAAUUUCAGGGGUUUUUUAAGUCUUGGUUUGAAAGUACCAGAAGUUCAAAUCUCAUGAGUUAAUUUCAUAUCCUGCCAUAGUAAAUGGAAUCCUGUAUUGAAUCUCUUACAUACAAGAAAGGUCAGUUUCACUGUAAAUAUCAUUUCUGCAUUGAAACAAGACAUUGCUUAGCUACUGGCACAUGUGGUUUUUCACUUACAGGCUUCCCUAGAAUAGUUUUUUGAGUCUUAAGGUCGAGUCCUCUUUAGUAUGAAUUGUGAUCCAGGAACAAGAGAUCUAGGUUGGUGACUCUUUUAAUCAAGAGUCAGAGAGCUCUGAGGAAUGAAUUCAGCCUCUGUUACCUCAGAGCUGUGUGGUCUACAGCAAAUUACUCAGUAUCUUUGAUCUUGAGUUUCCCCAUUUACUGAAUGAGGAUUUAAGGUCAUUGUGAGAAUCAUAGGAGAUAAAUUACCUGACAAAUAGUAAGCACUAAAUAAAUGACUGCUAUCAUUAUGUGUCAUUCCCACUUUAGUUUCUUCUAUUCACUCCAGCCAACACACUCUUAUUCCCUUGGUACCUAAAGAAAUCUUGCCUCUCUUAUAAGGUGUACCUCAAAUUCAACUUUUCUUUUGAAACUUCUCAAAAUGUCCUGAGGUGGAGGUGAUUUCUCUACCACCCGAAGCUCUUCAGUACCUCUUGUAGGUAAAAGUAAAGUGAAAAGGAAUCAUUAUCUUCUUUAACGUUCUCUGUCACACUGUUAUUUUCCUAAUUACAUACUUGAUUGUUAAAAUCCACACAUUAACCAUAGGAGCACUGAGAGCAGUACAUAGCACUGAGAGCAGAGGUUCAUGUAAGAUUUAUUUAAUAUGUGUUAAGACAAUGGAUAUGUGAGUAAGUGUAUGAAACCUGGGUCUCCUUUUUUUUAAUUAAUUUAUUUAUUAAAAAAAAUUUUUUUUUGGCUGCAUUGUGCUCGUUGCUGUGUGUGGGCUUUCUCUAGUUGUGGCAAGCAGGGGCUACUCUUCGUUGCAAUUUAAUAUAUUUAUUUUAAAAAAAAGAUUACAUCCAGUAGAAAGGAAUCCAGGUUGCAAAGGAAGAAUGAAAACUGUCACUGUUUGCAGAUGACAUGAUACUAUACACAGAAAAUCUUAAAGAUGCCACCAGAAAACUACUAGAGCUUAUCAAUAAAUUCAGUAAAGUUGCAGGAUACAAAAUUAAUAUAUAGAAACCUGUUGCAUUUCUGUAUACUAACAAUGAACUAUCAGAAAGAGAAAUUAAAGAAACAAUUCCAUUUACUGUAAGAGGGAAGAACAAAUCUGACUCCAUAUUGGAUGUUUCUCUUACUUUAACCUUCAUAUUUUAGUGCUUUUGCUACAAGUUAGUCACUAAAGGGAUGCUGCCUAUAGCUUAAAGUAUACAUAAUGGCCUAUUUCCGGGAACCCUGCCUCCUAUGCCUGAGCUUAAACUAAAAUACCUUUGUUUAGCUCACAGGAAACAUCCUGACCAGGCCCACCUAUUCAUGGCUGCAGGAAAGAAGAAAUUAACAUCCACCCCCUCCAGAGUCUGGCUGGAACUAGGAAAUAUUUGCAACAUCUUAUUGCCUUUUUUUACUUUAUCUCCUCACUUCCCCCUCUUUGCUCUAUGAAAGAAACUAGCAUACAAACCCAGGCAAGAUGCUUUUUUGGAACACUAGUCUACCAUCUUCUCUGCUGGCUUUCUGAAUAAAGUUGCUAUUCCUUGCCCAACAACUUGUCUCUUGAUUUGAUUGGCCUGUCAUGUGGCGAGCAGUAUGAGCUUGGGACUCAGUAAGAUUACCAGUGCAUCAAAAUGAAUAAAAUGCCUAGGAUUAAACCUACCUAAGGAGGUGAAAGAUCUGUACUCAGAAAACUAUAAG